UACGUAGGCAGCGAGCGUUGUUCGGAGUUACUGGGCGUAAAGAGUGCGUAGGCGGUUUUCUAAGUUUGGUGUGAAAUCUCCCGGCUCAACUGGGAGGGUGCGCCGAAGACUGGAAGGCUUGAGUAUGGGAGAGGUAAGCGGAAUUCCUGGUGUAGCGGUGAAAUGCGUAGAUAUCAGGAGGAACACCGGUGGCGAAGGCGGCACUCUGGGCCGGUACUGACGCUGAGGAGCGAAAGCGUGGGGAGCGAACAGG
rnacentral:rRNA from 1 species